AAAUAUGACGUAAAUUUUAAAGAUGAGUCCUCAAUCUAUUUCUUCGAUGUAGAGUUUUGGAUAGAUUGAUUUAAACAAAAUAAAAUCACUAUAGUACUAAAAAAUAUUUAAAACUACUUCUAUUUGGCCAAGAAUACAUGCUUAUUCACAAUCACCACCACAUGCACACAAGGCAGUGCACGGGAGACCCGAUUUUACACAUUAAAAAUAACCGCGGCAUCC
rnacentral:lncRNA from 1 species